GAGUUCCUGUCCUGACUUCCUUCGGUGAUGAAAGGCAAUGAGGAAGUUCAAGAAGCAGACUGAGGAAUCUGAUGUUGACGAAUCUACUCACAAGGGAAAGCCAGUCAGCUCUGUCACGCCCACCUGUCCACCUGGAUGCAUGAGCUCAUGAAUAUGUAUGUAUGGGAGGUUCAUUUGCAUGUCUCUUCCACUUCCCCUCAAGCAGUUGGGAGACACAGAGGGAAGACCAAUCCUGCUGAGGACCUGGAUCCAGACGCAAUUGCCGCAGGUGAAGUUCUCAAGGUGACCACCAGAGGGAGGCCUCAGCCAAGUUACUGAAGGAAUUGGGUCCACGCUGAAAUUCUGCAGCCUGGUAGACAGAGUCCUCUUGGAGUCCUGGAAAGGAACCUCACCCAGAAGGGACCACCGGGAUUAAAGCUGUCCUGGGGGUGGGCAGUCGAGAAGAGCUCCCCAUUGCUCCUGCUCAUCUCUCAGCUAAGAAUCCGAGACCGUGUACUGUCGCCAAAGAGCAACAAAGUUCGGUACAGAGACCAGGAAGAGCCCCGCAAUUUGAGAACAACUGUUCUCAGCUCCAGUAGCAAUGUUGCAAGCUGAAACUUGAGCCUGAUUUCAUCCAACGUUGUGGAGGUCGUAACACCUAAGGCACAGGGAAGGAGGGGAUGAGGCAGGGGAAGGGAAGCCCUCUUAUAUACCGCCCCCCCCCAGGAGAUACGAACAAAGAUUUACUCACCCCUAGACACAACAGAAACAAACCACGCCACCCUGGUGGGGCACAGUGACGGAUGAAUUUAAGCACGUGCAGUUUGCACUACUGAAGGAAAACUCUUAACCCAGCAAGCACUGUGCAUAAAUUCUGGGAGGGGCGGGGCCGCGUGAGCCCUUCCUUCUAGCUACUUUACCUAUAAACGUCCCCCUUUCUUACCCUCUCCACCUCGCACAUGCACCAGUAAACCUUAACUUGGAGGGCAAUUUGUGAGCCUGUCCUCCCUCCACGACAGAGUCAAUUGGUCUAACCUUAAUGCAGGCCUCCUGUGGGAAUCACCUGCUAACUCUUUAAGAGGGCAUCCGUGUCUUGGACUGAGGCCAGCCUGCCUCCACAAGCCCAGAGACCCUGGAGCAGAGGGCUCUGCACUGCCAUUCCUGGAGGCUGGCUCUGCACUAGUGAGGAGCGUGGAGCCUCACUUGGGCCCCGGGGCCCCACAGGACCUCCAUGCCACCACACGUGUUUCUUUCCCACCGAGUUGGAAUUUUGCAAAGCCUGGUUUAAAGUAUAGGCUACAAAGGCGUUGUCCACGUUUGACCUGGGGGGGGGAUUGUUUAGAGCAGAGAGUCUGUGGCUAAGAAGACAGCGGCACUGUGGUGGACUUGGCAGUCAGAGGAAGGAUAGAGGGAGACUCUUGGGCUGUCCGCGGCAACUACACUUCUUUCUUGACUCUCACAGGCCCAGAGGGCAAUGGUGAACAUCAGGAAAUGCAUUCCAGAGCAGUUUUCCAGUGUGAGCACAUGAAGGGUACGGAGGUAGCAAGAGCCAGAGGUCACUUUUAAAAGCCUUAUUGGCACAGCUUUCACAGAACAUGCAUGUCACCUGUUUAAGGCUCCAUCCAGUGUUCUACAAAUAUCCACAGACAUAGGCUCCCAUUCCCACAGUCAGUCCUGGGACACUUUCACUACUUCAGGAAGAAAUGCUUUUAUAUUUCUCCCUUCCUGUAUAUCUCUAUGUACUUGUGUCCCCACACUUAGCAACCAUGUAUCUACUUAGUUUCUCUAUAGGCUUUUCUAUUCUGGACUUCAUAUUAAUCGAAACUUACAUCAUAGUGGUCUUUUGUGACUGGCUCUUUAGUAAGCAUAAUGUUUUCAUGAUCUACUCACAGUAAAGCACAGAACUUUUCUCUUUUAGUGGCAGAAUAAUAUUCCACUGCGUGGACACACCACAUUUUGUUCACUGAUGACCAUUUGGAUUCUUCCUUUCUUUGAUCUAUCACAAACAUGCUACAAACACAGACAUGCUACAAACACAGACGUAUGUCGGUGUGAACAUGAACAGCCUUCAUUUUUCUUGACUGAGACUAGACUAAUGAUGGGGUCAUAUGGUGACUCCACGUUUAAUCACUUGACAACUACCAGGUGUGAAUUUUUCCAAAGUGACUGGUGUGAACUAAAAUACUUGAAAAGAAACCAUUUGUACCUGUGAACAAAAACCUCUUGGAAGAAGUUUCUGUGUCUGCAGAGAAUGAUGGACCGAUGUGUUGUUUUUAACAAAUCUCAAUCAUUUGAUUUUACCAAAAAAGACUCGGGAAGAAGAUGCUGGGGUGUCAGCCUGUUAGUUCAGAGUCAGAGAAAACACCCAGCUGAUCUUCCUCCUCCACCAGCAUCUCAAAAACCUCUCCUCUUUCCUACCAUCUCAAACCAAUCUCCUCCAUAUCCAUCCUCUCCACUCCCCCUUACUCUUCAUGGUUUAUUCUUACAAUCCUAUGUUCGAUUCCUGUCAACUGGUUGCUUGCUCCGCCUCUUGGCCUAUGCUGACUUUAUUUUACCUCGUUUACAGUACUCAAGCAGGAAGCUCUUGGAUUAAAGGAGUGUGCUAGGGCUGAGCCACACCACAACUAGAAACAGGUCUUUCCAGUAAAUAAUGCAAUCUCAGCGUUCAGUGUGAUCAAAUACCCUGCAACACUGAUGUUUGCAGGAAUUUUGGUGUUGUAGAGAUUGGAAUUUUGUAGGUUCUGGGGCUAAUUACUUUAUCUUGGGCUAGUUUUAGCCUUCUGGAACAGCCUUCCCUUGGCCCACUCUGCUACUAAUUUAGAACUAACUUGUGAUAAUAAAGACCUCUUAGAAGCUAUUGCCUUAGCAGAACACUAGCCUCUGCCAUUCCUAGAGCUAAGAACACCAUCAGAGAGCUCCAUCGUGAGCCUGUAGAAAAACUUCCCCCAUCUAGAUGUAUCUGAUAUGCACCCAUCUCUGCAUUUUGAACUUGCCUUGAUUUAUGACUUGUUUGUUCUGUAAUCUAUAAAAACCCUGUGAAACUGCUUCCACGUUGGAACGUGGAAUUUGGGGAAAUCUAAACCUGAGUUUCAGGGAUGUGGUUACUCAUAAUGGCUCCAAUAAACUAUCGUGAUUCCCUUU